rnacentral:misc_RNA from 1 species
CGUAACAAGGUUUCCGUAGGUGAACCUGCGGAAGGAUCAUUACUGAUUUGCUUAAUUGCACCACAUGUGUUUUUCUUUGAAACAAACUUGCUUUGGCGGUGGGCCCAGCCUGCCGCCAGAGGUCUAAACUUACAACCAAUUUUUUAUCAACUUGUCACACCAGAUUAUUACUAAUAGUCAAAACUUUCAACAACGGAUCUCUUGGUUCUCGCAUCGAUGAAGAACGCAGCGAAAUGCGAUACGUAAUAUGAAUUGCAGAUAUUCGUGAAUCAUCGAAUCUUUGAACGCACAUUGCGCCCUCUGGUAUUCCGGAGGGCAUGCCUGUUUGAGCGUCGUUUCUCCCUCAAACCGCUGGGUUUGGUGUUGAGCAAUACGACUUGGGUUUGCUUGAAAGACGGUAGUGGUAAGGCGGGAUCGCUUUGACAAUGGCUUAGGUCUAACCAAAAACAUUGCUUGCGGCGGUAACGUCCACCACGUAUAUCUUCAAACUUUGACCUCAAAUCAGGUAGGACUACCCGCUGAACUUAAGCAUAUCAAUA